GUAGGUGGCAAGCGUUGUCCGGAAUUAUUGGGCGUAAAGCGCGCGCAGGCGGUUCUUUAAGUCUGAUGUGAAAGCCCACGGCUCAACCGUGGAGGGUCAUUGGAAACUGGAGAACUUGAGUACAGAAGAGGAAAGCGGAAUUCCACGUGUAGCGGUGAAAUGCGUAGAGAUGUGGAGGAACACCAGUGGCGAAGGCGGCUUUCUGGUCUGUAACUUACGCUGAGGCGCGAAAGCGUGGGGAGCAAACAGGGAUUAGAUACCCUGGUAGUCCACGCCGUAAACGAUGAGUGCUAAGUGUUAGGGGGUUUCCGCCCCCUUAGUGCUGCAGCUAACGCAUUAAGCACUCCGCCUGGGGAGUACGGCCGCAAGGCUG
rnacentral:rRNA from 1 species